UAGGGAAUCUUCGGCAAUGGACGAAAGUCUGACCGAGCAACGCCGCGUGAGUGAAGAAGGUUUUCGGAUCGUAAAACUCUGUUGUUAGAGAAGAACAAGGACGUUAGUAACUGAUCGUCCCCUGACGGUAUCUAACCAGAAAGCCACGGCUAACUACGUGCCAGCAGCCGCGGUAAUCCGUUGGUGGCAAGCGCUGUCCGGAUUUAUUGGGCGUAAAGCGAGCGCAGGCGGUUUCUUAAGUCUGAUGUGAAAGCCCCCGGCUCAACCGGGGAGUGUCAUUGGAAACUGGGAGACUUGAGUGCAGAGGAGGAGGGUGGAAUUCCAUGUGUAGCGGUGAAAUGCGUAGAUAUAUGGAGGAACACCAGUGGCGAAGGCGGCUCUAUGGUCUGUAACUGACGCUGAGGCUCGAAAGCGUGGGGAGCAAACAGG
rnacentral:rRNA from 1 species